rfam:Algibacter sp. SK-16 scaffold23_cov53_read183, whole genome shotgun sequence.
ACAACCACGAGUUGGUUAUGUAGAGAAGUCAGCAGAAGUCAUAUUACCUAUGGGAAAUGAGCUUUGAAAAGCAUAGAGGUCUCACGAGUAGGGAAGGAC